UACGUAGGGGGCUAGCGUUGUCCGGAAUCAUUGGGCGUAAAGCGCGCGUAGGCGGCCCGGUAAGUCCGCUGUGAAAGUCAAAGGCUCAACCUUUGAAUGUCAGCGGAUACUGCCGGGCUAGAGUCCGGAAGAGGCGAGUGGGAAUUCCUGGUGUAGCGGUGGAAUGCGCAGAUAUCAGGAGGAACACCAACGGCGAAGGCAGCUCGCUGGGACGGUACUGACGCUGAGGCGCGAAAGCGUGGGGAGCGAACAGG
rnacentral:rRNA from 1 species